GAAAUGCGAUAAGUAGUGUGAAUUGCAGAAUUCAGUGAAUCAUCGAAUCUUUGAACGCAUAUUGUGCCCCUUGGUAUUCCAUGGGGCAUGCCUGUUCGAGCGUCAUUUGUACCCUCAAGCUCUGCUUGGUGUUGGGUGUUUGUCCCCGUCUCCGCGCGUGGACUCGCCCCAAAGUGAUUGGCAGCCGGCGUACUGGUCCCGGAGCGCAGCACAUGUCGCGCAAACGAGUGCCUUGGUACGGCGGCGUCCAUAAGCCCCUCUCUCACGCUCUUGACCUCGGAUCAGGUAGGGAUACCCGCUGAACUUAAGC
rnacentral:misc_RNA from 1 species